rnacentral:ncRNA from 2 species
AGAUGUCCAUACAACUGGCGGAUGAGUGGGUAACCACAUGGGAGUAUGGAUAAUAAUAUUGAAUGUCGACCGCCUGGGCAACCGCU